rnacentral:rRNA from 1 species
UACGUAGGGGGGCAAGCGUUGUCCGGAAUCAUUGGGCGUAAAGCGCGUGUAGGCGGCUCGGUAAGUCUGCUGUGAAAGUCCAGGGCUCAACCCUGGGAUGCCGGUGGAUACUGUCGAGCUCGAGUUCGGAAGAGGCGAGUGGAAUUCCUGGUGGUAGCGGUGAAAUGCGGCAGAUAUCAGGAGGAACACCAAUGGCGAAGGCAGCACUCUGGGACGUGACUGACGCUGAGACGCGAAAGCUAGGGAGCGAACGGG